rnacentral:rRNA from 1 species
AACUGAAACAUCUAAGUACCUGAAGGAAGAGAAAGAAAUUCGAUUCCGUAAGUAGCGGCGAGCGAACGCGGAUUAGCCCAAACCAAUAAAGUUUUCUUUAUUGGGGUUGCGGACAUAUCAUAACGAAGAGGUAUCGUAAUUGAAGAGGUUUGGAAAGACCCACCACAGAAGGUAAUAGUCCUGUAUGUUAAACGAGAAGACUUUAGAUAUGAUCCAGAGUACCACGGGACACGUGAAACCCUGUGGGAAGCAGGAGGGACCACCCUCCAAGGCUAAAUACUACCUAGUGACCGAUAGCGUAUAGUACCGUGAGGGAAAGGUGAAAAGAACCCCGGGAGGGGAGUGAAAUAGAACCUGAAACCCUGCACUUACAAGCUGUGGAAGCACAUUUCUUGUGUGACCGCGUACUUUUUGUAGAACGGGCCAACGAGUUACGUUAAGUAGCAAGGUUAAGCACUUAAGGUGCGGAGCCGUAGCGAAAGCGAGUUUUAACUGAGCGUUCAGUUACUUGACGUAGACCCGAAACCGGGCGACCUACCCAUGAGCAGGAUGAAGCGAAAGUAAAAUUUCGUGGAGGUCCGAACCCACGAGCGUUGAAAAGCUCGGGGAUGACUUGUGGGUAGCGGUGAAAUUCCAAUCGAGCCCGGAGAUAGCUGGUUCUCCCCGAAAUAGCUUUAGGGCUAGCCUCAAGGUGAGAGAUACGGAGGUAGAGCACUGAAUGUCCUAGGGGGUAUUGCACCUACCGAAGACUAUCAAACUCCGAAUGCCGUCAUCUUAUACUUGGGAGUCAGACUGUGGGUGAUAAGAUUCAUAGUCGAAAGGGCAACAGCCCAGAUCGUCAGCUAAGGUCCCUAAAUGUAAGUUAAGUGGUAAAGGAUGUGGGAUUGCACAGACAACCAGGAUGUUGGCUUAGAAGCAGCCACUCAUUCAAAGAGUGCGUAAUAGCUCACUGGUCGAGUGAUCCUGCGCCGAAGAUUUCCGGGGCUAAAACUUACUACCGAAGCUACGGCAUCAGUAAUGAUGGGUAGGGGAGCUUCCCAUACGGGUUGAAGCAUGACCGUAAGGACAUGUGGACAGUAUGGGAGUGAGAAUGUUGGCAUGAGUAGCGAGAUGUGGGUGAGAAUCCCACAGGCCGUAAACCCAAGGUUUCCAGGGGAAGGUUCGUCCGCCCUGGGUUAGUCGGGACCUAAGCUGAGGCCGAAAGGCGUAGGUGAUGGACAACAGGUUGAUAUUCCUGUACUACCGAUAACCGUUUGAGAGAAGGGAUGACACAGUAGGAUAAGCUAAGCACACUGUUGGUUAUGUGUGCCCAAGCAUUGAGGCAGUCAAAGUAGGCAAAUCCGCUUUGAUAAUGCUGGGAUGUGAUGGGGAGCGAAAUUUAGUAGCGAAGUAGCUGAUUUCACACUGUCAAGAAAAGUCUCUAUCGAGGUUAAAGGUACCCGUACCGCAAACCGACACAGGUGGGUGAGGAGAGUAUCCUAAGGCCAGCGAGAGAACUGUUGUUAAGGAACUCGGCAAAAUGACCCCGUAACUUAGGGAUAAGGGGUGCCACCAUCAGGUGGCCGCAGAGAAUAGGCCCAAGCGACUGUUUACCAAAAACAUAGGUUUCUGCUAAGUCGCAAGACGAUGUAUAGGAGCUGACGCCUGCCCGGUGCUGGAAGGUUAAGGGGAUCUGUUAGAGCAAUCGAAGCAGUGAACUUAAGCCCCAGUAAACGGCGGCCGUAACUAUAACGGUCCUAAGGUAGCGAAAUUCCUUGUCGGGUAAGUUCCGACCCGCACGAAAGGCGUAACGAUUUGGGCACUGUCUCAACAACAGACUCGGUGAAAUUGUAAUUCCGGUGAAGAUGCCGGAUACCUGCGACAGGACGGAAAGACCCCAUGGAGCUUUACUGUAGCUUGACAUUGGGUCUUGGUACUACAUGUACAGGAUAGGUGGGAGGCUUUGAAACCAGGACGCCAGUUUUGGCGGAGCCAUCCUUGGGAUACCACCCUUGUAGUACUGGGACUCUAACCAUAGGCCAUGAAUCUGGUCUUGGGACACUGUCAGGUGGGCAGUUUGACUGGGGCGGUCGCCUCCCAAAAGGUAACGGAGGCGCUCAAAGGUUCUCUCAGUACGGUCGGAAAUCGUACGUAGAGUGUAAAGGCAAAAGAGAGCUUGAUUGCAAGACAUACAGGUCGAGCAAGGAUGAAAAUCGGACUUAGUGAUCCGGUGGUUCUGCGUGGAAGGGCCAUCGCUCAACGGAUAAAAGCUACCCUGGGGAUAACAGGCUUAUCUCCCCCAAGAGUCCACAUCGACGGGGAGGUUUGGCACCUCGAUGUCGGCUCAUCACAUCCUGGGGCUGUAGUAGGUCCCAAGGGUUGGGCUGUUCGCCCAUUAAAGUGGUACGCGAGCUGGGUUCAGAACGUCGUGAGACAGUUCGGUCCCUAUCCGUCGCAGGCGUAGGAAAUUUGAGAAGACCUGUCCUUAGUACGAGAGGACCGGGAUGGACGUACCUCUGGUGUACCAGUUGUUCUGCCAAGGGCAUGGCUGGGUAGCUAUGUACGGAAUGGAUAAGCGCUGAAAGCAUCUAAGCGCGAAGCCAACUUCAAGAUAAGAUUUCCCACCGCAAGGGUAAGACCCCAGAAAGACUAUCUGGUUGAUAGGUCGAAGGUGUAAGUGCAGCAAUGUAUUUAGCUUAUCGAUACUAAUAGGUCGAGGACUUGACCAA